GGCGGAAUAGCUCAGUUGCGAAAGAGUUAGUCUGGAGAUCUAAACGUCCCGGAUUCGAACCCGCGUUUCGGGUCCA